UUGAUUCUUUUGAGGGAUGUGCUGGUAAUGAAAUUCAUUGCAUUGUGCACUCCUGAAAAAUAACCCCUAUUUCAACCCCUAUGUGCACAUUUUGUAGACAGAGAGAGACCACUCUCAAAGUCUACGCAUUUUUAAAUACACCUUGAUAAGUAUAAAAUGAUUGUAAUGAAAUUGUAACACAAUA
rnacentral:misc_RNA from 1 species